UACGUAGGGUGCAAGCGUUGUCCGGAAUUAUUGGGCGUAAAGAGCUCGUAGGCGGUUUGUCGCGUCUGCUGUGAAAACCCGAGGCUCAACCUCGGGCCUGCAGUGGGUACGGGCAGACUAGAGUGCGGUAGGGGAGAUUGGAAUUCCUGGUGUAGCGGUGGAAUGCGCAGAUAUCAGGGGGAACACCAAUGGCGAAGCCAGAUCUCUGGGCCGUAACUGACGCUGAGGAGCGAAAGCAUGGGGAGCGAACAGG
rnacentral:rRNA from 1 species